rnacentral:sRNA from 1 species
UUUUUUUCUUUUUCAAAUCAUUCUUUUCUUUUCUCUUAACUCUAAGAGAAGCUUUCUCAACACUCUGACACAUCUAGCGGAUUUGGAUUUCUUUAACAACUAAGGUUCCUGUUUUUAAUCUUUAAAACCAAAGGCUUUUAACCCUUCUUCUUUAGCUAACAAGAACCUCAUUCUUUUCUUUAACAUUCCCAAAACCUUUACUAGAUUUUUUUUCUAACUUCUUUUAGCUUACUUCCCCUAGAAUUCUUUCCCUUUCCUUAUCAACAAUGAAUUCACCCUUUUCUUUUAAACACAUCCCAACCCGUGAUAUAAGCGCCCACCUAGUCCUAUCCAGUCCGAAAACGCGAACUAGAACUACAUGAGACACUAUCUCUGUCGUUACGAACCUAACACUUUCUACCAAGCUCAAUUGAAAUAAGACCUCACAAACACUCACAAGUGAUAUAGGGCUCGAAAGAAAGUUUAGGUUUUGGUUCGGGUUAACUGCUCUAAUAAGGAGAGUCAGCUACUUGGACUAACAAGAGUGGUUAAAAUGAGUAAGAAAAUCCAAGUAUUUUAGGGUAUCCAUGAGUUCAAAUUCGAUGCCAAGACAUGAUAAUUCUAAAUCAGAUUCAAGUUCAAAUUGAUAGGGAAUGGUAUCAGAUCCAAACAGUGUGGUCGAGUAGAGCAAUCUAGGCAUGGUGCAGUUUUACUUCAAUUUCAAUGACUACGCAUCAGACAACUAACAACGAGGGCACUGAGCUUAUCUGGUGAACCAAAAUGCUUACAAGGCUAUCUCAUCAUUAUCCCCUAUGCAUAUGCAACAAUCCUAAACGAAACACUCUAGACUCGUUCCUAAAUGCAAUGCAACUACAUGAGCACUCUAUUUUUGUGAAAUCAUUUUCUGAAAUUUUUCAAUUUUUUUGUUUUUUCCUAUGCCUUAGAUGAAUGCAGACUCAAGAUUAUAUACAAUGCAACACACAUUGCCUGAGCCCUCCCCCAAACUUAAAUCACACAGUCCACUGUGUGACCAAAUUUGGAAGAGAGUACUCAGGACAAAACACAUCACAGAAACAAAAUAAAAACAAGAGAUGGUAUAUUACAAUGGUGGAGUGAGGUGCAUACCUCAGUGGAAGAAGGAGCAGAGUUGGUCGUCAAUAGCUGCCUGUGAUUGCUCCCAGGCCAUCGAAGAAUCUCCCAGUUGUGUCUCAGCUUCCCCCUAGGGGUACUCGACCUCUGCUCCUUCGUCGCGGCCCGCACCGCUCUGAUGAUACUCGACCUCUCUUCUUCUGCUGCGGCCAGCACCGUGGUCGAGUGAUUUACUGACAUGGAGAAGUUUUGAUUGCACCACUCGCUAUACUCGAUCACAUCGUCAUUCAGUCCCUGUAGGGUGUGGUCGAGUGAUUUCAUGGGGUGGAGAAACCAGAACAAUGUCGAGUAUCCUUGAUUGCUCUUUGGUCGAGUGUAUUGCUGUUCCCUCAAAGCCAGAAUCUAUUUCCGUCAGCUCUUCAUACUUAUCGCCUGAAAACACUAACAAGAUGCAUCAAAAACAACAAGAAAAAUUAAAGAUAUGUACAAAGAUAGGCAUGGGACUUCCUCCCAAGUGAGCUUGUUUUAGGUCUCUAGCUUGACUCUUCAUACUCAUUAGGCGUUUAUAGGCUCAUCCAAAGGAACAGAAGUUCCUUCUGGAAUAAACUGAUCUAUCAUGUAUUUCUUGAGCCGUUGUCCAUUGACUGUGAAGUCUCCAUUCUUUCCAGCUAGAGUGAUAGCACCAUAAGGUCGGACUGCAGUAACAGAGAAAGGACCAGACCAUCUAGACUUGAGCUUGCCUGGAAAAAGCCUCAAGCGAGAGUUGAACAGCAACACUUGAUCACCAACCUUAAAAUCUCUUGAGACUAUCUUCUUGUCAUGGAAAGACUUGGUUCGCUCCUUGUAGAUUUUGGAACUCUCAUAAGCUUCUAAGCGAAUCUCGUUGAGAUCGUUCAGUUGGAUCAAUCGCUUCUCCUUGGCGGUUUUAAUGCCAAAGUUCAGGAGUUUAACUGCCCACAUGGCUUUAUACUCGAGUUCAACAGGCAAAUGACAGGAUUUUCCAUAGAGGAGGUUGAAAGGAGUCGUUCCAAUAGGGGUCUUGAAGGCUGUUCUGUAAGCCCAUAGUGCGUCAUCGAGCUUAGUAGACCAAUCUUUCCUUGUAAUUCCCAUUGUUUUCUCUAAAAUUGCUUUUAUCUCCCUGUUGGAGAUUUCCACCUGCCCGCUCGUCUGUGGAUGAUAAGGAGUGGCUACCUUGUGCUUUACUCCAUGCUUCUUCAAAAGGUUCUCAAAAACCUUGUUGAUAAAAUGUUUCCCUCCGUCACUGAUCACAACUCUCGGGACUCCAAAUCUAGGGAAGAUAAUUGUCUUGAACAGCUUUAGCACAACUCUAGCAUCAUUGGUGGGGCUGGCUAUGGCUUCCACCCAAUUGAUACAUAGUCUACUACGACCAGUAUGUACUUGUUCCCGUAAGAAAAAGGAAACGGACCCAUAAAAUCAAUUCCCCAAACGUCAAAGAUCUCAACUUCUAAGAUCGGAUUCUGAGGCAUCUCAUUCCUUCUGCUGAUGUUCCCUUUCCUUUGACAUGAGUCACAUUUCGAGAUAAAUUCCUGAGCAUCCUUAAACAUUGUCGUCCACCAAAAACCAGCUUGCAAGAUUUUUGACACUGUCUUGAACGUUGCAAAGUGGCAACCAUAGGCGGACCCAUGGUAGUGCAGUAGGAUGCCUUCGAUUUCGUCUUCUGAAACGCAUCUCCUGUAGAUCUUAUCCUUGCAGAGUGUGUAGAGAUAAGGUUUGUCCCACUAGAAGUGGUUAAUGUCCUUGAAGAACUUCUUCUUCUCAUAGCUCGACAAAUUCGGAGGCUCUUCACCACUAACCAAGUAGUUGACGUGAUCAGCAUACCACAAAAGCUUUUCUUCAAUUGCACAUACUUGAUCGAGUGAUUUCCGAAUUUGAGCACUCUCGUUAAGUUGCUGAAUUGCCAUUAGCUGUUCUUCUGGCAUGGAAUCGUCAAUAGGGACCUCGUCUUCAAUUCUCAUUCUAGUUAGAUGAUCAGCUACACCGUUUUAAAUUCCCUACUUAUCAAUUAUCUCCAUAUCAAACUCUUGGAGCAAUAAGAUCCAUCUCAACAGCCUAGGUUUGGUAUCCUUCUUCGCGUAUAUAUGCCUCAGAGCAGCAUGAUCAGUGUAGACUGUCACCUUAGAGCCGACUAGGUAGCUUCUAAAUUUUUCGAAUGCAAAUACCACAGCUAGCAGUUCCUUCUCUGUAGUGGCAUACCUUACCUGUGCAUCAUCCAUCGUUCUUCUCGCGUAGUAUAUCACAUGCAACGUUUUAUCAAUCCUCUGGCCCAAAACUGCUCCUACUGCAUAAUCUGAAGCAUCGCACAUGAUCUCGAAUGGGAAGUCCCAGUUUGGAGCUUGGACUAUUGGGGCCGUGACCAAAGCUUCCUUGAUUAACUUAAAGGCUGUCAAACAUUCUUCAUCAAAUGUAAACUCGGCUUCCUUGCACAGUAGUCUUGUGAGCGGUCUUGCCAACUUGGAGAAAUCCUUGAUGAAUCUUUUGUAAAACCCUGCAUGUCCAAGAAAACUCCUGAUGUCCUUGACAGUCUUUGGUGGCUAUAACUACAUCAUCACGUCAACCUUAGCCUUAUCAACCUCUAUCCCCUCCUCAGAAAUUUCGUGCCCCAAAACGAUGCCUUCUCUAACCAUGAAAUGGCAUUUCUCCGAGUUCAGCACCAGGUUUGUCUCUGCACAUCUUUUGAGUACCCUUCAUAGGUUCAACAAACACGAGGAGAAGGAAGAGCCAUACACAGAAAAAUCAUCCAUGAAUACCUCUACCAUCUCCUAUAUCAAAUCCGAGAAAAUGGAAGUCAACCACCGCUGAAAAGUAGCAGGUGCAUUACAGAGACCGAAAGGCAUACGCUUGUAAGCAAAGGUCCCAUAAGGACAAGUAAAAGUAGUUUUCUCUUGGUCAUUUGGGUGAAUAGGGAUUUGAAAAAAUCCGCUAUAGCCAUCCAACAAGCAAUAGUAAGGAUGGUUUGCUAAUCUUUCUAGCAUUUGAUCAAUGAAGGGCAAUGGGAAAUGGUCUUUUCUAGAGGCAGCAUUUAACUUCCUAUAGUCAAUACACAUCCUAUGUCGAGUUAUAGUCCUAGUGGGUAUCAGUUCAUCUUUAGCAUUUUUAACAACUGUCAUACCUCCCUUUUUAGGAACGCAGUGAACUGGAGAUACCCAAGUGCUAUCAGAGAUAGGGUAAAUAACCCCAGCAUCUAAUAGUUUAAGUAUCUCCUUUUUCACAACCUCUUUCAAGUUUGGAUUUAAUCUCCUUUGAGGUUCAAUGCUAGAGUAGGAUUCAUUUUCAAGAUGGAUUCUAUGGGUGCACAAGGUGGGUGAAAUCCCCUUAAUAUCAUCUAACGAAUAUCCUAUAGCUUUCCUAUACUUCUUGAGCUCAGUUAUCAGCAGGUUUACUUGAUCAGCAGUUAGCUCAUCAUUCACUAUGACAGGAUAAGUAGAGUUUAGUCCAAGAAAAACGUACCUUAGCCCUUUUGGUAGCGGUUUCAAAUCUACUUUGGGUGCCUUGAGUUCAGACCAGUCAUCGGAUACUAAGUUGGCUUCAGAGGAGGGGUUGUGGUCGAGUAGUUCGGUCGAGUACACUGAAUGGACUGUUAGUCGAGUGAUGUGGUCAAGUAUAUAUUCCUUCCUUGCUCUUUCACCCAAAUCUUCAUAUUCUCCUGGAUUCUCAACUGCUUUGUGUUCAUCUAACAGCUUCUGGUACCCUAGAGUCUCCAAAUGUAAAUCUCCUUCUUAGCUAUCCUUUGUUAGAGCACUCUGUUGAUGAUCUGUUUCUCUUAGCUCUUCUAGCAUUUCGUCAGCUAACAUAUCCAUCUCUUCAAUCCAGAAAACAUUUCCUUCUAUUGUAGGUUUCUUCAUGGUGUUGGUGAUAUCGAAGGUCAUCUUGAGAUCUCUCCCGAGGUUAAGAUCGAUCUUUCCCUUCUUAACAUCAAUGAUAGCUCCGACUGUAGCUAAAAAUGUUCUUCCCAAUAUCAAAGGGUCUUUAGGUUCUUCAUCCAUUUCUAGAACCACAAAGUCUGUAGGUACUUCGACCACGCCUUUCAUGACUGGUAAGUCUUCCAGGAGACCAUGGGGAAUUCUAACAGAUCUGUCAGCCAGGACCAGGGAUAUUUGUUUGUGUGAAACCAGAGAUAUCAUUCCUUAGUCUCGCAGUCCAGGAGUUUGAGAACAACUUAGCCAAGAAGGCUUUCUUGCAGUCAUUCCUGGAGGUGAUAGAGCCUUGAGGAAGCGAUUUUUCCCACUGAUGGGCUUUGUCUCCAAGAGAGAAUGGAAACAAUCUGAGCUUGAAGUCAUCCUCACUAACUCCAUUGAUCUUUGUUAGGCUGCAGAGCCUAUCAAACUCGUCCAGGUGAUCGAGUGGAUCCUCCAUAGGGAGGCCGUGGAAGUUGUUGCUCUGAACCAUGGCAAUGAGACCGCUAUUGAUCUCAAAGUUGUUGUUCUGCACUGGUGGAGGCACGGAUCCAUUACGCUGAUUGUGGUUGCGUGGUGCAUCGCCUGCACCUAUGUUGUUUGGUUGCACUUGCUCAUCUACAACUGUAGCCAUUGUGUCUGUUUCUGUCUGUGUUCUGAGUUGGCGUGCAAUACGGUCGAUAUUAUCGUUGAACAGGAGAUUCUGAUUUCCUCGUGACCGUGUUUGCAUACAACGAGUACCAACUGAUGAAGCUAGUGAUAGAAAUCCUCAAGCAACAGGUUUAACAACAAAUCAAUUCACUCCCGUGAUAGAAAUCCUCAAGCAAAGCUAGCCCAGACUAAUUCCCAUUAACGGAAUUUAACUAUGCAGGCAAUAAGAACAGACUGAUAAAGUCAAUAAACGCUCUAAACGGCCAAUCCCUUGGGAUAGAGACGCAUAUCUCAGGAACUAGUGGAUCAAGCAUUCCAUCGAACACCUUCUAGGUGCGGGAAUGCUUGAGAUCGAAUUCCAGUUGAUCAGAAAGAAAUAAGCAGUAAACGCAACUAGUCCUGAAGGGAUUCAAUCAAUUCUAAAACUUAACCAUUAUACAGACUACGAAUUCCACAACUACUCUAUCCCAUCCCUAAGAAUUCUAAGUCACUACUCAGACAACAUGCUCAAAGACAUAAACGCAGAUAAAUGAUAAUAUUGCAUAAGUAAAGAGAUAAAGAGUAGAGAAACAAGAUGACAGAUGAAAUCAAAUGCGGAAUCUGAAUAACUUGGAAAAAUCUCGAAUUACUGGUUGCAGAAGCAAAAGCGGCGCAGCAGAGUAAAACAGAAAAUAAAACUGAAGCAAAAACUCAAUGUCGACUAGAUGUCUCAGGACAGAACCCUAAGACAUCUAUUUAUACAAAACGAAAUAAAAUGAUAGUAGACAGGCCAAUAACCUAAUCCCCGGCCCAUAGAAUGAUAAUGGGCCGAGAUGGGCUUCGUGAUCCGAUGGAGGUCCAGGCCGCUUCCAAACACUUUGUUUUCUCCUCUUCUCUUCCUUGUGCUCAGCUUGUCUGGUUGAGUGCGGAUUUGAGUAGACUGUGAAGACGUGAUCGAGUGUCCGGUCGAGUGAUGGUGAUGGUGGUGAGUGAUGAUACUCGACCAGGGGGUCGAGUAACUUGGUAGAGUGAAUGGCCGAGUGUGGUCAGGUGGUGUGGCGAAGUGAUACUCGACCAGGGGGUUGAGUGGCAUCAUCGAGUGGCCUGAGCUGAGGAUACUCGACCAGGGGGUCGAGUAGAUGGGAAGAAUGGCUCCAAAGUUACUCGACUUGGGGUCGAGUAUGGUGCUGGAUGCACAGGACCUGGUGGUCGAGUAUGUCUUCUAGGUCUGGCUCGUUUCUUCCAAUUUGCUCGCAAACAGCUCCAAAUCACCUGAAAACAAAUCAGAAAUGCAAUAUGUAUGCAAAGCUAUCCUAAUCAUGCAAAGUAUGCAAGAAUGAUGAGAAAUGAUAUAAAACAGUGAUGAAUGAUACAAAACUGGACUCAAAACGAUGAUGAAUGGACACUGAAAACAUGCAAAUUAUAGACAUAUAACUCCCCUAAACUUAGUCUUUGCUUCCCCUCAAGCAAACAAUUAAGAACAAGCUGGUGGUGAGGUUUGAAAGCGGGGACUUAUAGCCAAAGCACCUGAUAAACCAUAUGAAAUCAAUGUCCAAAUUGAUAGUUCUAAGCUGCAAUAUGAUCGAAUUCUACUCAAAAACGUUAGCCAUGCCUUGUUAUUAAUCAAUCUGACUCAUAUGCUCGACCUACACAUGCUUUCAAAUCUACCAAUCCCUUUAACAUUCAUUAGUUCUGGAACGUGAAUCAAGCAAUGCAUCAUCAAUGAACUCAUUUGGCUAAGGUAAAAGGUCAAGAGACAAAGAUUGUCCCUUACAGAAUAGGCUUCAGUAACAGGGGAUCUCUCAAAAAAUGAUUAAGCUUUAGUAGAUUGCUAAAGGUAAGUCCCAAGCUAUGCAUAUAGAGAUAAGAUCCCAUCUACCCAGAGUAUAUCAAAUGAAGCUCUAAUGGUAAUCCCAUCUCCAAUCCCAAUAUAAAAACCUAACUCUACCCUUUGCAUUCAUGAAUCCUUUAUGCCCUUUUUCUAAUCAUUCUUUUCUUUUCUCUUAACUCUAGGAGAAGAUUUCUCAACACUUUGAUACAUCUAGCGGAUUUGGAUCUCUUUAACAACUAAGGUUCCUGUUUUUAGCAUUUUAAAACCGAGGGCUUUUGCCCAUCUUCAAUAGCUAACAAGAACUCUUUCUUUUCUUUACAAAUCCCAAAACCUUUACUAGAUUUUUUCUGCUUCUUUAGCUUACCUUACCUAGAGUCUUUUACCUUUUCUCAUCAGAAAAUCCAAGUAUUUUAGGGUAUCCAUGAGUUCAAAUUUGAUGCAAACAUGACAAUUAAAGAUCAGAUUCAGGUUCAUAUUGAUAGGGAAUGGUAUCAGAUCAUGACAGUGUGGUCGACUAGAGCAAUCUAGGCAUGGUUCAGUUUUAUUUCUAAUUCAUUGACUACGCAACAGACAACUAGCAAAGAGGGCACUAAGUUUAUCCGGUGAACCAAAAUGCUUACAAGGCUAUCUCAUCAUUAUCCCCUAUGCAUAUGCAAAAAUCCUAAAUGAAACACUCUAGACUCGAUCCUAAAUGUAAUGCAACUACAUAAACAUUC